AUUGAACGCUGGCGGCAGGCCUAACACAUGCAAGUCGAACGGUAACAGGAAGAAGCUUGCUUCUUUGCUGACGAGUGGCGGACGGGUGAGUAAUGUCUGGGAAACUGCCUGAUGGAGGGGGAUAACUACUGGAAACGGUAGCUAAUACCGCAUAACGUCGCAAGACCAAAGAGGGGGACCUUCGGGCCUCUUGCCAUCGGAUGUGCCCAGAUGGGAUUAGCUAGUAGGUGGGGUAACGGCUCACCUAGGCGACGAUCCCUAGCUGGUCUGAGAGGAUGACCAGCCACACUGGAACUGAGACACGGUCCAGACUCCUACGGGAGGCAGCAGUGGGGAAUAUUGCACAAUGGGCGCAAGCCUGAUGCAGCCAUGCCGCGUGUAUGAAGAAGGCCUUCGGGUUGUAAAGUACUUUCAGCGGGGAGGAAGAGAGUAAAGUUAAUACCUUUGCUCAUUGACGUUACCCGCAGAAGAAGCACCGGCUAACUCCGUG
rnacentral:rRNA from 1 species